AAUAGAAGAAUUAAAAUUUAAUACCG
rnacentral:piRNA from 1 species